UAGUGAGUUUGAUCCUGGCUCAGAACGAACGCUGGCGGCAGGCUUAACACAUGCAAGUCGAACGGGCGUAGCAAUACGUCAGUGGCAGACGGGUGAGUAACACGUGGGAACCUUCCUAGGGGUACGGAACAACUCAGGGAAACUUGAGCUAAUACCGUAUACGUCCGUGAGGAGAAAGAUUUAUCGCCCAAGGAUGAGCCCGCGUAGGAUUAGCUAGUUGGUGGGGUAAGAGCCUACCAAGGCGACGAUCGGUAGCUGGUCUGAGAGGAUGAUCAGCCACACUGGGACUGAGACACGGCCCAGACUCCUACGGGAGGCAGCAGUGGGGAAUUUUCCGCAAUGGGGCGAAAGCCUGACGGAGCAAGA
rnacentral:rRNA from 2 species